ACUGAUCAAUUUUCAGUUUUCACACUAUCCUCAACUUUCUAUUUCUGCUCUCUGAUCUCCUCUCACCGAUCUCUCUCGCUCGCAUCUCGGACUGUAGGGUUUCGUAAUCCCAGUGCCUGAGUUCACUCUGUGUCACGUCUUCGUCCCUUAACGGAUACCACUCUGAAUCUCCUUUAAAGUCUUUCUUAACCUAAGUUCUCAGUCGCUCUCUGAUCUCUCUCGCUUUCCUUCUUCGUUUCAUAAUCGCUUCACUGAUCACUCUCGGACGUUAGGGUUUCGAAAUCCCACCGCCUGAGUUCACAUUGUGUCACGCCUUCGCCCCUUAACGGACAUCACUCUGCAACGCCUGAGAAAUCACCUUUAUCUGCUGUACGAGUUUCUUCUUAGUAGAAAUGGCGGGACCAUCUGUUGGAGGGAAACAUUUCAUACAGGGUGCUAUUGCUCAAGACCUUCACACUGAUGGUCGAAAAAGAUUAGUUUACCGACCUAUAUCUGUUGAAACUGGAGUCAUUCCUCAGGCAAAUGGUUCUGCAAGAGUUAGAACGGGAACUACUGAUGUCAUUGCCAGUGUGAAGAGGAAUUUCCUGCUAAUAUUUCCUAGCAAUCACCAUUGGCAGGCUGAACUUGGAAAACCAUAUCUGCUUCAACCUGGUAAAGGCAGGGUCAUCAUAAAUGUUGAUUGUAGUCCCGCAGAAGCUUCUGUAUUUAAGGGCAGAGGAGGUAAAGAGUUAUCAACGGAACUCUCAAUUGCACUGCAGAGAUGCUUAUUGGGUAGUACAAUUGGAACAAGUACGACUAUCAGUAAUUCAGCUGCACCGCAGAGAUGUUUAUUGGGUAGUAAAAGUGGAACAGGGGUUGGCAUUGACUGCUCAUCUCUAAUGAUUGCGGAAGGGAAACUGUGCUGGGAAUUAUAUGUUGAUGGCCUUGUUGUCAGUUCUGAUGGGAAUUUACUAGAUGCCUUAGGUGCUGCAAUCAAGGCUGCCUUGAACAAUACAUGCAUCCCAAAAGUCUAUAUAACUACAGCUGCCUCUGCCGAUGAUGAGAAGCCAGAAAUUGACAUUAGUGAUGAAGAGUUUUUACAGUUUGACACCUCUGGCAUCCCUGUAAUUGUAACUUUAACCAAGUGGAUUUGCUCCCAGACAAGUGGAGGGGUUUUUAAGGUUAUUCAUACAAGAGGGGCUGUUACAGCUCCCAAGAUUUGAGUUUUGAACAAAAGAAAGCAUUAUUUUGUAACCUGUGAGAUGCAGCUGCUGGGAGAGACAGGCAGAGACGGCUUGAGUGAGAUGCCCUUGUGGAGAUAGGUGGGAUACCUUCUCUACGGUUGGUGAGAUACACAUAUCCUUCUUCUACCUUUCUUCUUUUCUUUUCUUUUAUUACUUCAUUCAAUUUACAGUGGCUUUCAAUGGGGAUUUCCAAGGCAUCCAACCAGUAACUUAGACCCAUCUUUGUAGAGGAACUGAUAUGCUUUGACAUAAUAUGUUUCAAUGCAUAUUACUGUUCAUCAAUACAACUUCAAUAUGAUUCGCAUCGAGGUCCUUUAAGUGAUCCUUUCAACGAGGGCCAGAGUGGAUGCAAAGUAUACGAGAAGCCAAGCACAUAUGGGGUAGUAGCAGUAACUAUGACGAUGGGAACGUCCUAACAGUCGUUAGAAGAACAUUGAGAAUUGUAAAGGACUCUGCAGGCAUAUAUCAUCUAAAAAAGUUACCAGCUGCUGGUCUAACUCAUGUUCAUCUGUUGCUAACAUUCCAGUUUGUGUGGUGGGGUUGAUGAUGAGAAGGAGAAAUGGGAGUACAUAUGGUAGAAUUAGGGAAGAUUGGGACUGUUGGCUCCAGUCAAUGUGAUUUUUUCGUUUAGCAUUUCUAUGGCACCACCCUGAGAAUGUCGAGCUUGACAAAGUUAAGGUCGUCCACUACUGUGCUGCUGGGUCAAAGCCUUCGAGGUUCACUACCAAUGAAGCAAACAUGGAUAGAGAGGACAUUAAGCGCCAAUGAAGCAAGCAUGGAUAGAGAGGACUUUAAGAUGUCAGUUGGUAAAUGGUGGGAAAUUUACAAUGAUGAAUCACUGGACUUCAAGUUAUGGAUGUGAAUUUGAAACCGAAACCGUUUACUGAAACCGAAUUGAGCCAUAUACAUCGACACUGUAAAACUGUUUAGUAAAUGGUUUGGUUAUGGUUUCAAGUUUCCGGCCGAUUAGCUAAACGGGUUGAAAUCGAACCAAGCCGUUUAACCCGUGGUUUCAAACCGAGUUGAAAUCGUGAAAACCAAAUCGUUUAAAAUGUCAAAACCAAUCUGAUUAACUCGUUUGAAGAUAAUAAGGUGGUUGCAAGAUAUCAUUAGUAUCUCAUUUAA